rnacentral:misc_RNA from 1 species
UCUCCGUUGGUGAACCAGCGGAGGGAUCAUUACCGAGUUUACAACUCCCAAACCCAAUGUGAACCAUACCAAACUGUUGCCUCGGCGGGGUCACGCCCCGGGUGCGUCGCAGCCCCGGAACCAGGCGCCCGCCGGAGGGACCAACCAAACUCUUUCUGUAGUCCCCUCGCGGACGUUAUUUUUACAGCUCUGAGCGAAAAUUCAAAAUGAAUCAAAACUUUCAACAACGGAUCUCUUGGUUCUG